GAUUUCUGGCUCGUCGUUCGAUCGGUCGGCCACGGUUUCGUGUGUCAGUGUCGGUCGCGACAGCCAUCCUUCCCAUCGUCGCACGUCGAUCUUCAUUGAUCGUACGUGCGGUAUGGGAUCUGUUACUUUGAAAAAAUUAGAGUGUUUAAAGCAGGCUGCUAUGCUGUGAAUACAUGAGCAUGGAAUAAUAAUUUAGGACUUCGGUUCUAUUUUGUUGGUUUCUAGGACGGAAGUAAUGAUUGAUAGGGAUAGUUGGGGGUGCUAGUAUUCAGCGGCCAGAGGUGAAAUUCUUGGAUUCGCUGAAGACUAACUUAUGCGAAAGCAUU
rnacentral:rRNA from 1 species